AUUAUUUUUAUUUUUUUAUUAACACUAACUUUAAUUUUUUUUUUGAUUUUACACUAGCAGGGAGACUGCCUGUCAGCACAGGCAGCCCCCCUGCAGGCAGCACUAUGGACACCUAUUGUGACCAUGUGAUCGCUGUGUUAAGCGAUCACAUGGCCACAGGGGUCCUAAUCUGCCGUGGGGAGACUGUCUGGGCUGCAGGCAGUCUCCCCACAACCGGAGCCACGCUGAUCGCCGC
rnacentral:lncRNA from 1 species